rnacentral:rRNA from 1 species
AUUGAACGCUGGCGGCAGGCUUAACACAUGCAAGUCGAGCGGGGGGAGGUAGCUUGCUACCGGACCUAGCGGCGGACGGGUGAGUAAUGCUUAGGAAUCUGCCUAUUAGUGGGGGACAACAUCUCGAAAGGGAUGGUAAUACCGCAGACGUCCUACGGGAGAAAGCAGGGGAUCUUCGGACCUUGCGCUAAUAGAUGAGCCUAAGUCGGAUUAGCUAGUUGGUGGGGUAAAGGCCUACCAAGGCGACGAUCUGUAGCGGGUCUGAGAGGAUGAUCCGCGACACUGGGACAGAGAAACGGCCCAGGCUCCUACGGGGGGCAGCAGUGGGGAAUAUUGGACAAUGGGGGUAACGCUGAUCCAGCCAUGCCGCGUGUGUGAAGAAGGCCUUAUGGUUGUAAAGCACUUUAAGCGAGGAGGAGGCUACUUUAGUUAAUACCUAGAGAUAGUGGACGUUACUCGCAGAAUAAGCACCGGCUAACUCUGUGCCAGCCGCCGCCGUAA